rnacentral:rRNA from 1 species
CACCAGGUUGAUUCUGCCUGACGUAGACGCUAUACUCUAAGAUUAACCCAUGCAUGUUUAUUGAAUAUAAAGAAAAGACGAACAGCUCAGUAACUCUUAUUUGAUUUGAUGUAUUAGGAUUCUAACUAUGUUAAAUUAUAGGUAACAAUAAUACAAUAAGAAUAAGAUCUAUCAGUUAGUUGUUAAGGUAAUGGCUUAACAAGACUAUGACGGAUAACGGUAUUACUUUGUAAUAUUCCGGAGAAGGAGCCUGAGAGAUUGCUACUAAGUCUAAGGAUUGCAGCAGGGGCGAAACUUGACCUAUGGAUUUUAUCUGAGGCAGUUAUGGGAAGUAAUAUUAUAUUGUUUCAUAUUGUAAAAGUAUAUGAGGUGAUUAAUUGGAGGGCAAAUCAAGUGCCAGCAGCCGCGGUAAUACUUGUUCCAAGAGUGUGUAUGAUGAUUGAUGCAGUUAAAAAGUCCGUAGUUUAUAUUUAAGAAGCAAUAUGAGGUGUACUGUAUAGUUGGGAGAGAGAUGAAAUGUGACGACCCUGACUGGACGAACAGAAGCGAAAGCUGUACACUUGUAUGUAUUUUUUGAACAAGGACGUAAGCUGGAGGAGCGAAGAUGAUUAGAUACCAUUGUAGUUCCAGCAGUAAACUAUGCCAACGAUGUGAUAUGAUAUUAAUUGUAUUACAUGAUAGAAAUUUGAGUUUUUUGGCUCUGGGGAUAGUAUGAUCGCAAGAUUGAAAAUUAAAGAAAUUGACGGAAGAAUACCACAAGGAGUGGAUUGUGCGGCUUAAUUUGACUCAACGCGAGGUAACUUACCAAUAUUUUAUUAUUCAGAGAAGAUAUAUUAUCUGAGGAUGAUAAUAGUGGUGCAUGGCCGUUUUCAAUGGAUGCUGUGAAGUUUUGAUUAAUUUCAACAAGACGUGAGACCCUUUUUUUUAUAGACAGACACAAUCAGUGUAGGAAGGAAAGGAUUAAAACAGGUCCGUUAUGCCCUCAGACAUUUUGGGCUGCACGCGCAAUACAAUAGAUAUAUAAUCUUUAUGGGAUAAUAUUUUGUAAGUGAUAUUUGAACUUGGAAUUGCUAGUAAAUUUUAUUAAAUAAGUAGAAUUGAAUGUGUCCCUGUUCUUUGUACACACCGCCCGU